rnacentral:rRNA from 1 species
CCUACGGGUGGCAGCAGUGUGGAAUAUUGGACAAUGGGCGAAAGCCUGAUCCAGCCAUGCCGCGUGUGUGAAGAAGGCCUUCGGGUUGUAAAGCACUUUCAGUGGGGAAGAAAGCCUUGGGGCUAAUACCCUCGAGGAAGGACAUCACCCACAGAAGAAGCACCGGCUAACUCCGUGCCAGCAGCCGCGGUAAUACGGAGGGUGCGAGCGUUAAUCGGAAUUACUGGGCGUAAAGCGCGCGUAGGCGGUCUGAUAAGCCGGUUGUGAAAGCCCCGGGCUCAACCUGGGAACGGCAUCCGGAACUGUCAGGCUAGAGUGCAGGAGAGGAAGGUAGAAUUCCCGGUGUAGCGGUGAAAUGCGUAGAGAUCGGGAGGAAUACCAGUGGCGAAGGCGGCCUUCUGGACUGACACUGACGCUGAGGUGCGAAAGCGUGGGUAGCAAACAGGAUUAGAUACCCGGGUAGUC